rnacentral:lncRNA from 1 species
CAAGAAAAGCGGAAGAGCAAGGAACAGAAUCACACGAUCUGUAGUUGAUAACUGCUGGCCGCACGAACUUAGACUGCUGACGACGUGGGAGGUUAUCAGAGUACAUAUAGCAUCGAACUCAGAGAGAAAAACAAAAUCAGUUCGAGGUUUGUUUGGGUCGUCUUUCCUUUUGAUCAUCCUCGCAUUUUGUUUUCUUUGAUUUCGUCAGUUUUUCAGACUACGCCUAAUGCAUCGCAGUUGGUUUUUGUUUGGGUGUGUACAGUUGUUCUUUUUCUACUUCAAAGCAGACAGUGAACCCAUAAUGGGAGCAGCAAAACAAAAGUAAUUUGGGUGAGUUUUUGUGUUCAAUUAGAUGAGUUUCGGUCUCCUUUGUUCUUUUUGUCUUCAAAGAAUCAAUGUGUAUGCAAUUUGGGUGGGAAGAAAGUGUUUCGAUCUCGUAUAUAGUUUUGUUUUUGUUUUGUUUAUCAUAGGCUCACGAGUGGUAAAUCCUUGAUUCCUUCUGUUGUUCGUUUUUCAUCUGUUCUAUAUAUGGUCCUGUUUAGGAAAAACCUUUUCAACUGUCUUAGAUAUAAAUACUAUACUUUUCUGUAAUGUUGUAUUGCUUUUGUUGUUGUUUUCUUUCUAAUUUGUGGUAGUAGAUAUGUGAUACUGUGAUAGGCUUCCUAUUGUCAUCGAUUUAUGUCUCUGUGUGAUGAACUUUAUUGAUUAUUUGAUUAUAACAAUAACAAUAGCAACAAUGAAUGUUUCUGUGUUUUCAUAAAUGGAGCUAUUAAUUCCUUUCUGUGUUUUUGUUUUUACUCGGAACAACGUGGGAGCGGUUCGGCUUACAUAUGGCUCUAUAUCAAUGCUCACCCCUCUCCCGAUUUGUAGUUCAACUUCAAUCCCGAAAAGAGGACCUUAUCAAAUCAGUACUCUGACCACCACUCUUGAUUUGCAGUUCAACUUCAACCACAUAAUGAGGGCAAAGAGGAGCAUUUCAGAAACCAGGUAUUCACGUUGCCCUGCGAUUAACCGAUGGGGGUCGGUAUUUGCUGCUAUAGGAACCCAAUUGCUUGGUUCAUUUGUCUGUGUUUACCCUAAAAUUAUUUAGUCUUGAGUUUGCUAGAUACAAAUUCACAUUAAACUUACAUUUGGCUUUUCAUGGCUUGGACUCAUAAUUGUGGGUAUGCAAAAUAUUGCUUUUCUUAUUUUGUGAGGAACAACCUAAUAUGAAAGCAAAAUAUAAUUGUGAUUCUUUUGUAUUGUUUGGAAGUAUAGAUUUUAGCCUUUUGAAGAUCGCCUUCAAUUUUAGCCUUUUCACAAGGACAGUCCUUUCAAGAGAAGGGAGAGAGGAGAGAUUGACGUGAAAACAAAGGAGUUUAAUUUAAUAGGGUGAGUGCAGAUUUUCAAACGCAUAAGGAAAUGUAUCCAAUUCCUGAAAAAAAAAAAAAAAAAAAAAAAAAAAUAACCAUCGACCUACUAACUUAGAGAUUAAUUAUACCA